rnacentral:rRNA from 1 species
ACAGCAGUCGCCACGGUAAAACGUAGGGUGCAAGCGUUAAUCGGAAUUACUGGGCGUAAAGCGUGCGCAGGCGGUUCGUUAAGACAGAUGUGAAAUCCCCGGGCUUAACCUGGGAACUGCAUUUGUGACUGGCGGGCUAGAGUAUGGCAGAGGGGGGUAGAAUUCCACGUGUAGCAGUGAAAUGCGUAGGGAUGUGGAGGAAUACCGAUGGCGAAGGCAGCCCCCUGGGCCAAUACUGACGCUCAUGCACGAAAGCGUGGGGAGCAAACAGGAUUAGAUACCCGAGUAGUCCCUGUCUCUUAUAC